UACGUAGGGUGCAAGCGUUAAUCGGAAUUACUGGGCGUAAAGCGUGCGCAGGCGGUUGUGCAAGACCGAUGUGAAAUCCCCGGGCUUAACCUGGGAAUGGCAUUGGUGACUGCACGGCUAGAGUGUGUCAGAGGGGGGUAGAAUUCCACGUGUAGCAGUGAAAUGCGUAGAGAUGUGGAGGAAUACCGAUGGCGAAGGCAGCCCCCUGGGAUAACACUGACGCUCAUGCACGAAAGUGUGGGGAGCAAACAGG
rnacentral:rRNA from 1 species